rnacentral:rRNA from 1 species
GACGAACGCUGGCGGCGUGCUUAACACAUGCAAGUCGAACGGGAUCCGGGCUUUCGGGUUUGGUGUGAGCGGCGAACGGGUGAGUAACACGUGAGUAACCUGCCCCCUGCUUUGGGAUAACGUCGGGAAAUCGGCGUUAAUACUGGAAAUUCUUGCUGCAUCGAGUGGGGGGGUUUGGAAAGGGUUUCUGGUGGGUGAUGGGCGCGCGGCGUAUCAGGUUGUUGGGGGGGUGAUGGCCUACCAAGGCUUUGAAGGGGUGCCGGGCUGAGAGGGUGUGCGGCGACACUGGGACUGAGACACGGCCCAGACGCCUACGGGCGGCAGCAGUGGGGAAUAUUGCACAAUGGGCGCAAGCCUGAUGCAGCGACGCCGCGUGAGGGAUGACGGCCUUCGGGUUGUAAACCUCUUUCAGUAUGGAACAAGGAUCCUUCUUCUGGGGGGUUUGAGGGUACGUGCAGAAGAAGCGCCGGCUAACUACGUG